CACCUCCAUGCUUCACAGUUAGGAUGGUGUUCUUGAGGUUGCACUCAUCCUUAGUCUUCCUCCAAACACAACAAGUAGAGUUUAGACCAAAAAGCUCUAUUUUCAUCUCAUCAGACCACAUGACCUUCUCCCAUGAAUGAGUAUGUGGACAAGUGUCUUUUAUACAGGUAACAGUUCAAACCGGUGCAGUUAAUAGAAGUAACGAGUUCAAACCGGUGCAGUUAAUAAAAAGUGGAGAAAAGGAGGGCUUCCUGUGAGAUCUGGAAUUCUUACUGGUUGGUAGGUGAUCAAAUGCUUAUGUCAUAAACAAUAAACUGCAAAAAUAUAUAUUUUUAAAAUAUACAAUGUGAUUUUCUGGAUUGUUAUUUAAGAUUCUGUCAUUAGAGUAGAAGAGUAUACCUAAGAUAAAAAUGACAGGCUCUUACGUGGUUUGUAAGUGGGAACCUGCACAAUCCCCAGUGUAUCAAAUGCUUUUCCUCAUCACUGUAGAUAACUGAGGGGAACACUUAUUUUAAAAGUGCCAUGUUGACACUGUUUUGGAGUUGCAACACUGAGUUCAAAUGACUGCAAACAAUCACAUAUGAUACUUCAUCUGGUGCCCACUCUAAAGCAAAACUAUAUUCUUUCCAGUUAUUAAUUUAAAAUAACUUUCAUAUUAUCUGUAAUCGAAUGUGUUCCAUCCUACAGUUCCUCCUUUAAAACCCUUGCCUCACACUUGAAUUGCCAGGCAGGAGUUUAUUUUACUAACGUGAUUGUUUCUUUAAUCAACAUGACAAAAUAGUUUUGUCUUUUUUAUUUAUAAUACAGAGCUUAACUGUAGAGACCUACAUUUCGGUUGGAUAAAGGAGGGUACAUAAAUUAACCAAUAUCAAAAGCGUAUGUUGGUUGAUUGUUGUGGGUUUUUCCAUCUUCACACACACACACACUCGAGACCGGUGUAUGUCCUGGUUAAGACUAUCCGGGUCCCCACAUGGUCAACCCCUCCCCCACACCUAUACCCGCGCGCGCGUCUGGAGCUAAUGAUUGCAUCUCGUCACUCACUCACUGGACGAGCAGGAGCUGCAAACGCAGCAGCAAGCAGCGUGUUCGUUCUCCAAGGUUUUCACUCAUGGAGAGAAGAACUUGGACCAAUCCAGGAUGCGGAGUACCAUAUCCAAGCGGGGAUUGAUAAACCAUGUCUCCAGCGUUUUAUCAAUAAUUUUAAAGCAUUGAUGCAUGUGAAAAGGACUCCUCUCUUGGGAGACUUGUUGAUGACGACCACAGAAGACCUAUUUUUGCAAAAUGAAAACCAUAAGUAAAGAAACCACACUUGUCUCUUCGCGAUUCGAGAUAUUACACCUGGAGAAGAACUGACGUCAACAACGUGACUCAAACUGGCCAUGGAGAGCACAGCCCCCAAAACACACUUCACUGGCACGGACACCCUGUUCAACAUGCCCGUCUCAGGUAAAAGCAACUGCCCC